rnacentral:rRNA from 1 species
UACGUAGGCAGCGAGCGUUGUUCGGAGUUACUGGGCGUAAAGGGUGUGUAGGCGGUUCUCUAAGUUUGGUGUGAAAUCUCCCGGCUCAACCGGGAGGGUGCGCCGAAAACUGGAGGGCUAGAGUGCGGGAAGGGAGAGUAGAAUUCCUGGUGUAGCGGUGAAAUGCGUAGAUAUCAGGAGGAAUACCGGUGGUGCAGACGGCUCUCUGGACCGCAACUGACGCUGAGACACGAAAGCGUGGGUAGCAAACAGG